rnacentral:rRNA from 1 species
GAUGAACGCUAGCUACAGGCUUAACACAUGCAAGUCGAGGGGUAACGAGAGGAAAGCUUGCUUUCCUUGUCGACGACCGGCGCACGGGUGAGUAACGCGUAUCCAACCUGCCCCCAACUAGGGAAUAACCUUGCGAAAGUAAGACUAAUGCCCUAUAAUUUCCUCAGAUGUCAUCUGACGAGGAAUAAAGAUUUAUCGGUUGUGGAUGGGGAUGCGUCUGAUUAGCUUGUUGGCGGGGUACGGCCCACCAAGGCAACGAUCAGUAGGGGUUCUGAGAGGAAGGUCCCCCACAUUGGAACUGAGACACGGUCCAAACUCCUACGGGAGGCAGCAGUGAGGAAUAUUGGUCAAUGGGCGGAAGCCUGAACCAGCCAAGUAGCGUGCAGGAUGACGGCCCUAUGGGUUGUAAACUGCUUUUAUACAGGAAUAAAGUUAGCCACGUGUGGUUAUUUGUAGGUACUGUAUGAAUAAGGACCGGCUAAUUCCGUGCCAGCCGCCGCAGUAA